UCAUUAAUACUGGUUAGUAUUGACUGACUUUAUCUUUAUCUGCCCCAAAGGAGUCAGUAUUCAGAGUGCUUGUGGGCAUGGAGAAAUCGCCUGUAAGUAAAUGACAAAAAGAUGACACUGAAUUAAAAUAAAAUUAAAUAACCUGUAUCAUGUCUCAGACUCUCUUUUUUCCCUCCUGACUGCAGGAAAUCGUUACUUUGCCAGAACGCCUUCUCAUUGUUAGUAAUGUGCCAAAAACACUUGGGGCAAUCAAGGAAGUAGAGACCAUAAUUCAACGCUAUGGUGGCUUCAAGAAAGUUUUGCCUCUGAAUGGCAAGAUUAUUUUUGAAAUGGAGAGUGUUGCUAACGCCAGGACUAUCUUCAGUCGCUUCCUCAAGUUUCGUUGUGUGGUCCAGAACAAUACCCUUAACUUCCAACUAGCCAAACCACUCAAGGUACUUUAGCGAGUAUUUGCAUGAGUGACAUCACCUCAAUUCUUUUACAUAGGCAAUUCAUUAAAAAUUCAACUAACAAUGUUAUUUAUUUAACAGCUAAAAAAGAAGCCAGUAGCAAAAGGGUAAGAG
rnacentral:lncRNA from 1 species